CAUUGAAACACCAAUAUCCAUACAAUCACCGAAGUUAAGCAAUGUCAAGCCUGGCCAGUACCUUGAUGAGUGACCACUUAGGAGUAUCAGGUGCUGCAAG